rnacentral:rRNA from 1 species
GACGUAGGAGGCGAGCGUUGUCCGGAUUCAUUGGGCGUAAAGAGCGCGCAGGCGGCUUGGUAAGUCGGAUGUGAAAACCCGAGGCUCAACCUCGGGCGUGCAUCCGAUACUGCUUGGCUAGAGGUAGGUAGGGGAGAUCGGAAUUCCUGGUGUAGCGGUGAAAUGCGCAGAUAUCAGGAGGAACACCAAUGGCGAAGGCAGCUCGCUGGGACGGUACUGACGCUGAGACGCGAAAGCGUGGGGAGCAAACAGG